UAGGAGUGUCAGUGGGACUGAGUUUAACCUUGUUCCUCAUUAUCAUACUGGGCCUGAUUUGCUGUUACAAGAAGAACAAAGAUGAUUCUGCAGCUCAGCCCAGUGAUGUAACUUACGCUCAGAUUGCGACUACUGAAAAUAAUCUUGAAAGCAAUGAUGAAGCAGUGACAAGACCAAAUGAUGUGACAUAUUCCCAAAUCAAGUUGAAAAACCUGAAACACCAUGGAAAAGGUCUAUGAAGAAAACUGUUGCUGUUUCAGUACAGAAAAGUAACCAUUUACAGAAACUCCUGGUUGGGGUUUUAAGGAGUGCAGACAGAAGAGGAUCUGAACACAGUUAGACUGUCAGAAUUAUCUUUAAUACAGCAUUUGAACAACGUUUACUCUACCAGUGUUUUAUACUGAUUAAGUGAAAAGAGUCUCGCGUUUUCUUAUUCAUUGAUUAUUAAGCUGAGUACUAAAUCAUUUAAUAAGUGAACUCUGCUUGGAGUAUUUUAUGACAAUAUUUAGCAAGUAAAGGUUAAGGGAAAA